rnacentral:rRNA from 1 species
GAUGAACGCUAGCGGCAGGCCUAAUACAUGCAAGUCGAGGGGCAGCGCGGUAGCAAUACUGGCGGCGACCGGCGCACGGGUGCGUAACACGUAUGCAACCUACCUUCAACUGGAGGAUAGCCCGGGGAAACUCGGAUUAAUACUCCAUAACACAGGGAUCCCGCAUGGGAAUAUUGUUAAAGCUACGGCGGUUGAAGAUGGGCAUGCGUUCGAUUAGCUAGUUGGUGUAGGUAACGGCUCACCAAGGCUACGAUCGAUAGGGGGUCUGAGAGGAUGAUCCCCCGACACUGGUACUGAGAUACGGACCAGACUCCUACGGGAGCGAG